AGACUUCUAUUGUUCGAGGGCCUCAAUCCAUCUUUCAGCUUGCCACAAUUCUUCGUUUCGAUGGAGAAUUGACUCCUGGGCCUCCUGAAGAGCCUCCUCUGUAAGGUUGAGUUCUUUGGCCAGCUCAGUUUAUCACUCUCCAGAUGUUCCAAUCGAUACUUCAGCAAGUCGAUCUCCUCUUUCUCCAUCACCGAAGCAUUGAGGUUGGAACUAAUGAGGCUUGCCAGAUAUUGAUCCACAUAUGCAAGAGAUCUCAAGGCAUCAACAGACUGUUUUUCCCCCCUUGUUCAUUGAGAAACAACUUUUUGACUGGUGGUAGGAGGUUCCUCAAGUAUUCCACCGC
rnacentral:lncRNA from 1 species